GGUUGUGAACUGUGGGGACAUCUCCCCCUGCAGAUCCGACCGCGGCAUAAGCCGAAACAACAUUAUUUGAGAAGGAG
ncrna:Pelobacter seleniigenes DSM 18267 L20-Deltaproteobacteria ribosomal protein leader